UACGUAGGGACCGAGCGUUGUCCGGAAUCAUUGGGCGUAAAGAGCGUGUAGGCGGCCUUUUAAGUCCUGCGUGAAAUCCUGCGGCUCAACCGCAGACGGUCGUGGGAAACUGGAAGGCUAGAGUGUGGUAGGGGAGACUGGAAUUCCUGGUGUAGCGGUGAAAUGCGCAGAUAUCAGGAGGAACACCGAUGGCGAAGGCAGGUCUCUGGGCCAUAACUGACGCUGAGAAGCGAAAGCAUGGGGAGCGAACAGG
rnacentral:rRNA from 1 species